GAGGUGUAAGUGCAGUAAUGCAUUCAGCUGACCAGUACUAAUAGACCGUGCGACUUGACCCU
rnacentral:rRNA from 1 species